UACGAAGGGGGCUAGCGUUGCUCGGAAUCACUGGGCGUAAAGCGCACGUAGGCGGCUUACUAAGUCAGGGGUGAAAUCCUGGAGCUCAACUCCAGAACUGCCUUUGAUACUGGUGAGCUUGAGUCCGGAAGAGGUGAGUGGAAUUCCUGGUGUAGCGGUGAAAUGCGCAGAUAUCAGGAAGAACACCCGUGGCUAAGGCGGCUCUCUAGUACGGUACUGACGCUGAGACGCGAAAGCGUGGGGAGCGAACAGG
rnacentral:rRNA from 1 species